UACGUAGGGGGCAAGCGUUGUCCGGAUUUAUUGGGCGUAAAGAGCGUGUAGGCGGCCAGACAGGUCCGUUGUGAAAACUAGAGGCUUAACCUCUAGACGUCGAUGGAAACCGUCUGGCUAGAGUCCGGAAAAGGAGAAUGGAAUUCCUGGUGUAGCGGUGAAAUGCGCAGAUAUCAGGAAGAACACCCGUGGCUAAGGCGGUUCUCUAGUACGGUACUGACGCUGAGACGCGAAAGCGUGGGGAGCGAACAGG
rnacentral:rRNA from 1 species